GUGUGCUUCCUUGCUCUCAUCUCCACUUUGUAGCCAAUCACCGCAUGAGGGCACUCUAUAUGAGGAGGCUGUGUUCAGUCUGACUCUCUCCUGCUUGUUGGCUCCGACACCGUCCACUUCCUGGUCGCCUCACUUCCUUUCCCCACUGCCACCUGCACAGCUUCCUGCACUGCUGUCCUGGGCUGACGCUAAUGACACGCGCCAUUCCCCUGUCUGGCUGUCCUCCUCCCACUGCUGCACAGCGCAAGCUCUCCUCCGCUCUUGCUCAGGUGAUCAAACACCACCUGAUCGUUGCUGAGAGCCAAAGGUGGUGGUCGUCCUGGUGUCCUGGGUGGUGGUUUCCCCUCUUUUUUUGGUGUGCUGUGCAUCCCCUGGUCCUGGCUUUCCCUUCACUAAAGUGUGUGUGUGCGUGUGGCUGUCACACAUGGCUGUGAUUGGGGUAACCUUAAUUUUGUUGUAUCCCUCACACUCUUGUCGACCCAUCUCCCUGCCAGUAAGCCUCAGUAUUGAAAGGUCCCCCUUUCCUUACAUCCCUGUGUGGACGGUGUGUCUAGUGUAUUUUAGCAACAUAUUUUGUAAUAAAGAAUUGCUUUUUCUAAACUUGGAAACAUGUCUCCUGCCUCACUGUAGAGCGAACCUGAGUGCCUUAUUUGGGGUUUUGUAGAUCUAACUAUCUCCUUGGGCGAAACUCCCAGGGUGGUGUUGUCCGGCUUGUCCUGGUUGAAUAAUUAAUAUAAUAUUCACCAAUAACUUGGUAACCUAAACCUCCCUCCAUCUCUCCUGUUGCCAAACGUAUAACGAAAAUGACGUUGGGGCAAUCCCUCCUGGACCCCAUAGAGAUUGCAUUGAAGUGCCUGCAUUUAGAAAAAAAAAGCCUUUUACAUCAAAGUCUAUGAGAGUGAUCGGGGCGAUUUCCAGCCAGACUGAUAUCAC